UCUCUCAAAAGUAUAUUCUUAUUUUGGUGCUGUAAGAAUUUCACCUGCGAAACAAGUAUCCAUCUUCUUCCCUCUCUUUCAUUUACAUUUUCGCUCCCAGUUUUCACGUGUUCUCGCAAAAUCAUAUACCUUCUUCACCUUCAAAUUCAACUUAAUUUUUGCUUUCAAAAUGUUGAAAACUCACGGCAAUAAACCCCUUCUCUACCUCAAGGCCUUAACUUCCUCACCAUCCCCUAAAAAUCCAUUACCCUUUUCUCUCCAUUUCUGCACCAACACUUCCAAUUCAACCUCAUUUGCAGUAUCCUACCUCAUCCACAAUUUUGGAUUCUCCCCACAAUUUGCUUCCAAACUUUCCUCCACCUAUCGUCUUCAUUUCACCACAUCCCAAAACCCUGAUUUAGUUCUCAGAUUCUUCAAAAACCACGGUUUUUCAGAUUCCCAAUUACGCAAUAUGAUUGCCAAGGCACCUGGCCUACUUUCCUGCAACCCCUCCAAAAGGGUCUUGCCAAAGUUUCAAUUUUUACUCUCCAAAGGUGCUUCUGAAUCCGACAUCGUUAACCUUGUCAGCAAGGGGCCCGUGAUCCUGUCUCCGAGCCUGGAGAAUCAUAUUGUACCGGUCUAUGAAUUGCUUUAUAGAUUCUUGCAAUCAGACAAGGAUACUGUUGUUUGUGUAGUUCAAAAUCCAACUAUACUCAGCGACCAUCGCGUGCCGCAGAACAUUAGAAUGUUGAUUGAGAAUGGAUUGAUAGACUCAAACAUUGCAAGAUUGCUUAGGAAGCAUAGCAAGAUACUCACCACAGCUGGUAUUCUCAAGGUGGUGGAGGAAGUGAAGGAUUUGGGGUUUGAUCCUUCAGGUUCCUGUUUCGCAAUAGCGUUGCUUGCCAAAAGGACAGUAACUGAGACCAGGUGGAAAGAGAAAGUUGAUGCCUUUAAGAAAUGGGGUUGGUCUGACGAAGAUGUUCUUCAAGCGUUUAGAAAGCAUCCUCAUUGUAUGUUAACAUCCAUUGAUAAAAUUAAUUUAGUCAUGAGCUUUUGGGUCGACGAGUUGGGUUGGGAUGCUAUGGCCAUUGCCAAAUUACCAAGGGUUUUGGGAGCCAGUCUAGAGAGAAGAAUCAUACCAAGGGCCUAUGUUGUGCAAUAUCUUUUGAAGAAAGGUUUGCAUAAGAAAGCAAGCUUAACUACUCCAUUGGUAGUUAACGAUAAGUUGUUCCUUGACAGAUAUAUAAAACAUUACAAGGAGGAGUCAUCUUAUCUAUUAAAGCUUUAUGAACAAAAACUGAAUCUCGCACAUGCGACGGACAAAACUGACAUGUCAUGAACAAAUCCGCAGAUUCACACAAUUUCUGAAGAAGGCUUAUGCAUUAUUGAUCAAAUUUUGGCUGUCUGCAUUUUUUUUUGUAUGGACUGAGGUUGCUGUUUGAUUGACAUUCUGCUAAAAGGGUAUCAACAUCAUCUUCUACUUUCAAUUUGAAUUGGAUUGAUAAGUUCUAUAGUAGAAUUAUAGAGCUCAUACAACUGCCUGACAAGGAACACAACACAUGGUUUAGAACUUGAUAUGUCAAAAAUGUUAUUGUGGAUGGUUGGGAUUUUGAGAACUUGAUGAUUUUUUUAUGGAUGGUUGAUAAGUAGUUUUGAGAAUAGAUAUUGUGUUAUUGCUUUGUAUGUUAGCUAUUUAAAAUGUUCCCAUGGACGAAAUAUACAGAAUAAUACAAUUAGUAAAAUGAAUUUGGUCCCUCACAAAAUUGACCAAUAGGAGAACUUAAAUGAAUUUAUUUAUAUAGAAAUUCAUGGACUAAAUUGACAGUGACUAUUUUGAUGGACCAAAUUGAUAUUUACAUUGUAACAAAAGCAUUUGGUCCUUUUUCUGAUUCAUUUUGGUUAUUGAUGCCACUAAAUCAUUUAAUUAUUCAUCUUUGUUUAUUACACUUACUCUUGAAAUUAUAAGCAUCAAUGCUUUCCCAUUCUAUUCUGUAUCCAAAUAGAGAGUUACUGAAUGGUUGAUGAUGGUCAUCAUGGAAAGACUUUUGAUGCCGUGGUGAAAAUUCUCUAAUGAUCGAAGAAGAUUGUUAAUUAGGAAUUGAUCUUAUUCUCUAAUAUUGUUGUUUGGUGAUUGUUGAUUAUUGUUCGGUGAUUACAAAUUGUUUUUUGGUGAUCGCAAAUCUAGGGCUUGUUGUUCGAUGACCGUAGAUCGGAUAUCCUUGUUAGCAAAGUUUAGUUUAUUGAGAGAGAAAAAAGUGUUUGUUGUACCAUGAAGGACUUCCAUCCAAAUUUUCUUCAUGGUUCCACAUUCGAAGAACAAAUGGUCCAUUGAUUCUACCUCUGGACAGAAACAACAACUUGUAUUGUCGGUCAUACCAAAUUUACAUAAUCUGUCUUUUGUUGCCAAUCUUUCGUGACAAGCAAGUCAAAGAAUAAAGUUGGCGCGAGGUCUCGCAUUAUUCUUGUACAUAAGGUUUUUCCAAUUCA